CAGCACCUCAAGUGGUCAGGAUGAUUAUUGGGCCUAAAGCAUCCGUAGCCUGCUUUGCCAGUUUUCGGUUAAAUCUGUACGCUCAACGUACAGGCUGCCGGGAAUACUGCAGAGCUAGGGAGUGGGAGAGGUAGACGGUACUCGGUAGGAAGGGGUAAAAUCCUUUGAUCUAUUGAUGACCACCUGUGGCGAAGGCGGUCUACCAGAACACGUCCGACGGUGAGGGAUGAAAGCUGGGGGAGCAAACCGGAUUAGAUACCCGAGUAGUCC
rnacentral:rRNA from 1 species